ACCUUCAGUAACGGCGAGUGAAGCGGUAACAGCUCAAAUUUGAAAGCUAGCUCUUCUAGGGUUCGCAUUGUAAUUUGUAGAAGAUGCUUCGGGUGUGGCCCCGGUCUAAGUUCCUUGGAACAGGACGUCAUAGAGGGUGAGAAUCCCGUAUGUGACUGGGUGCUUUCGCUCAUGUGAAGCUCUUUCGACGAGUCGAGUUGUUUGGGAAUGCAGCUCAAAAUGGGUGGUAAAUUUCAUCUAAAGCUAAAUAUUGGCCAGAGACCGAUAGCGCACAAGUAGAGUGAUCGAAAGAUGAAAAGCACUUUGGAAAGAGAGUUAAACAGUACGUGAAAUUGUUGAAAGGGAAGCGCUUGCAACCAGACUUGCGCGCUGAUGAUCAUCCGGGCUUCUGCCCGGUGCACUCGUCUGCGCUCAGGCCAGCAUCGGUUUCGGUGGUGGGAUAAAGGCCUUGGGAAUGUAGCUUCUUUCGGGGAGUGUUAUAGCCCUCGGUGCAAUGCCGCCUACCGGGACCGAGGACCGCGCUUCGGCUAGGAUGCUGGCGUAAUGGUUGUAAGCGACCCGUCUUGAAACACGGACCAAGGAGUCUAACAUCUAUGCGAGUGUUUGGGUGUCAAACCCAUACGCGUAAUGAAAGUGAACGGAGGUGAGAACCCUUAAGGGUGCAUCAUCGACCGAUCCUGAUGUCUUCGGAUGGAUUUGAGUAAGAGCAUAGCUGUUGGGACCCGAAAGAUGGUGAACUAUGCGUGAAUAGGGUGAAGCCAGAGGAAACUCUGGUGG
rnacentral:rRNA from 1 species